CUAGAGUGCGUAGGUGCGUACACGUAUGCAUCUACGCACAGGAGAUAGCUCCCGAAAGGGAAUUAUACUCAUAAGAUCACACGAGCUCUGAGAGUGAUUAACUACAGGGUUGCGAUGAGCAUGCGUUUGAUUAGUUAGUGGUGAGGUAACGGCUCACCAAGACGAUGAUCAAUAGGGGAACUGAGAGGUUGAUCCCCCACACUGGCACUGAGAUACGGGCCAGACCCCUACGGGAGGCAGCAGUGAGGAAUAUUGGACAAUGGGUGAGAGCCUGAUCCAGCCAUCCCGCGUGAAGGACGACUGCCCUAUGGGUUGUAAACUUCUUUUGUAUAGGGAUAAACCUACCCUCGUGAGGGUAGCUGAAGGUACUAUACGAAUAAGCACCGGCUAACUCCGUGCCAGCAGCCGCGGUAAUACGGAGGGUGCAAGCGUUAUCCCGGAUUUAUUGGGUUAAGGGUCGAGGCGAUCUGUAUCAGUGAAUCUCACAGUUUAUGGAAAUGCAUGAUACUGGUCUGAUUGUGUUGAAGUAGCUGGAAUAAGUAGUGUAGGGUGAAUGCUUAGAUUUUACUUAGAACACCAAUUGGGAGGNGGUUACUUAAG
rnacentral:rRNA from 1 species